rnacentral:rRNA from 1 species
AUUGAACGCUGGCGGCAGGCCUAACACGUGCGAGUCGAGCGGAUGAAGGGAGCUUGCUCCUGGAUUCAGCGGCGGACGGGUGAGUAAUGCCUAGGAAUCUGCCUGGUAGUGGGGGAUAACGUCCGGAAACGGGCGCUAAUACCGCAUACGUCCUGAGGGAGAAAGUGGGGGAUCUUCGGACCUCACGCUAUCAGAUGAGCCUAGGUCGGAUUAGCUAGUUGGUGGGGUAAAGGCCUACCAAGGCGACGAUCCGUAACUGGUCUGAGAGGAUGAUCAGUCACACUGGAACUGAGACACGGUCCAGACUCCUACGGGAGGCAGCAGUGGGGAAUAUUGGACAAUGGGCGAAAGCCUGAUCCAGCCAUGCCGCGUGUGUGAAGAAGGUCUUCGGAUUGUAAAGCACUUUAAGUUGGGAGGAAGGGCAGUAAGUUAAUACCUUGCUGUUUUGACGUUACCAACAGAAUAAGCACCGGCUAACUUCGUG